UGUUCGAGCGUCAUUACAACCCUCAAGCUCUGCUUGGUAUUGGGUCAGCCCUCCGGGGCUUUCCUCAAAUUCAGUGGCGGCUCCUCUGGGCUUCAAGCGUAGUAAUUUCUCUCGCUUUGGAGUACCCUGGGGAACUUGCCAGCAACCCUCAAUUUUCUAUGGUUGACCUCGGAUCAGGUAGGGAUACCCGCUGAACUUAA
rnacentral:misc_RNA from 1 species